UACGUAGGGUGCGAGCGUUAAUCGGAAUUACUGGGCGUAAAGCGUGCGCAGGCGGUUUGUUAAGUCUGAUGUGGAAGCCCCGGGCUCAACCUGGGAACUGCAUUGGAAACUGGCAAGCUCGAGUAUGGCAGAGGGGGUGGAAUUCCGCGUGUAGCAGUGAAAUGCGUAGAGAUGCGGAGGAACCCCGAUGGCGAAGGCAGCCCCCUGGGCCAAUACUGACGCUGAGGAGCGAAAGCGUGGGGAGCAAACGGG
rnacentral:rRNA from 1 species